ACGGCUCAGUAACACGUAGUCAACAUGCCCAGGGGACGUGGAUAACCUCGGGAAACUGAGGAUAAACCGCGAUAGGCCAAGAUUUCUGGAAUGAAUCAUGGUUUAAAUCUAUAUGGCCCCUGGAUUGGACUGCGGCCGAUCAGGCUGUUGGUGAGGUAAUGGCCCACCAAACCUGUAACCGGUACGGGCUCUGAGAGGAGGAGCCCGGAGAUGGGCACUUAGACAAGGGCCCAGGCCCUAUGGGGCGCAGCAGGCGCGAAACCUCUGCAAUAAGCGAAAGCUUGACAGGGUUACUCUGAGUGAUUUCCGCUAAGGAAGUCUUUUGGCACCUCUAAAAAUGGUGCAGAAUAAGGGGUGGGCAAGUCUGGUGUCAGCCGCCGCGGUAAUACCAGCACCCCGAGUGGUCGGGACGAUUAUUGGGCCUAAAGCAUCCGUAGCCGGUCCUGCAAGUCCUCCGUUAAAUCCACCCGCUCAACGGUUGGGCCGCGGGGGAUACUACAGGGCUAGGAGGCGGGAGAGGCAAGCGGUACUCGAUGGGUAGGGGUAAAAUCCACUGAUCCAUUGAAGACCACCAGUGGCGAAGGCGGCUUGCCAGAACGCGCUCGACGGUGAGGGAUGAAAGCUGGGGGAGCAAACCGGAUUAGAUACCCGGGUAGUCCCAGCUGUAAACGAUGCAGACUCGGUGAUGGGCUGGCUUCGUGCCAACCCGGUGCCGCAGGGAAGCCGUUAAGUCUGCCGCCUGGGGAGUACGGUCGCAAGACUGAAACUUAAAGGAAUUGGCGGGGGAGCA
rnacentral:rRNA from 1 species